rnacentral:lncRNA from 1 species
AUGCAAGACUACCUUUGUGAGAAAAUAGCCUCUUUCCUGGUCUGUGGUUUAAGAAGUUACCUAGUCUCCUGCUCAUGCUCCACUAACAACAAUGUAUACUCCUUUCAUUGGUGUUUAUUUAAAAGCCUGCCAAUAUAUCUGAAAUCAGCACAUACUGAAUGUUGA